UACGUAGGGGGCAAGCGUUGUCCGGAUUUAUUGGGCGUAAAGAGCGUGUAGGCGGCUAGGUAGGUCCGUUGUGAAAACUCGAGGCUCAACCUCGAGACGCCGAUGGAAACCAUCUGGCUAGAGUCCGGAAGAGGAGAGUGGAAUUCCUGGUGUAGCGGUGAAAUGCGCAGAUAUCAGGAAGAACACCCGUGGCGAAGGCGGCUCACUGGCCCGAUACUGACGCUGAGGCACGAAAGCGUGGGGAGCAAACAGG
rnacentral:rRNA from 1 species